AGGAUUCCCCCAGUAACGGCGAGUGAACGGGGAUUAGCCCAUCACCGAAGCCCGCGUGCUUUUGCAUGUAGGGCAAUGUGGUGUUAAGGCUUGCGCCUGGGACUGUAAACCUACCAAAAGUCCAGCUCCGAUUCUGGCUUUUACUGUUCCGUAGCGGGUGAAAGUCCCGUAGUGGUAGGUAUGUUGUUUGUAACAGUCCUCAGAUGCGUAUGCCUACGAGUCGGAUUGCUUGAGAAUGCAGUCCAAAGUGGGUGGUAAACUCCAUCCAAGGCUAAAUACUGGCAUGAGUCCGAUAGUAGACAAGUACCGUGAGGGAAAGUUGAAAAGUACUCUGAAGAGAGAGUAAAUAGUACGUGAAGCCGAUUGCAGGGAAGCUGGUGGAGUCAAGCUUCAUGCAUGGGGGAUUUCUGUCUGGAGUAAUGUGUGUAUUGAACGCAUUGGCUAGUCAACUUGGAAUAAGUUGGGUGCAUUCGUGUGCUUCAAGUCAUUCCGGGCUGUGUGUUUGAAACUGGUCUCUGUGUCCUGCUCUAGACAAUCUAUCCCUCGCUGCAUAAGUCACAGUCGGUAUUUGAGUGCUGCAUGUUUGUCUAACUGUACUGUGAUGGGCCUUGUGCUGGUCUGGUACAGAAAGGCAGGUUAGACCAAUGGUCUUGUACCAUUGUGUUUACAAAGAUUUGGUCGACUCUCAUGCAGUAUCUCAGAUAUCGUGAUCGCUUAGUACUGUCUCUUCGGGGUCAGUGCUAGUUAGAACUGUGAUUCUGAGGUAGA
rnacentral:rRNA from 2 species